GAAAUCCCUGAUGAAGUAUGCUAAGGUAAGUCUGCAGGUCUCCGAUUCUAGCUGCUUGACCAUCAUAUAUCCAGACAGUGUUUAAAGACCAUUGCUGUGACCAAGCAGGAGCAUAUGUCCAGCACCCCUGUCCCUCCCUGAUCUUAAGAAGCCAUGCUGUGUAAAGGAGACUUCAGAGCAUCCAAUCAUGAGGCAACUUUAACAGCCAAUCAGCAGCCUAAAUAUCCGCCAAUCAGGGAAGAGGGUCAAAGCACAGCCUUUCUGUCCGCGGAUGUCAGCAUUUCCGCGAAAGCUCCACCAAUAGAAAAAGUCAUUGCUGUAUGCAAAUGAGGGAUUAUGAUGCAGGUACGCAGCGUGAAGCAUGGAUAUAAAAGCGGAGGUGUCCGGGGUUUGGAGCGCAGAGCUGUUUACUUCGUCCUUGGUGCGGUUAAGGGUUUUGUUGUCGGCGCUGUCAGCGACUGCAUCUCUACUUGAGCGCCAGGGCGGAGAUCAGCGAAUUGGCCUAAGACUUUGGGCCUUCGGAACACCACUAGAUGGGAUGGACCACUGUCUAAUGAUGAGAACACUGAGGAGACACAAGAAGGUUGUGCUUACGUGUUUCCGUACAACAUGACUCACGUUAUCCCAGGGAGGAGUGUGUCAGGCUUUGAUCCUGGUGCCAUUACUGUGUGACCUCAGGAAGCCUUUUAAGGGCUCUUUUCCUUACCCUGGGGUGUGGUCAGAAGAUUGAGAUGUUGGUUGCAAUGUGAGGCGCGUGGUGAAAGCAGAAUUGCCGUUAGGUAAAAACAUAAAGGUAAACCUUUAAGAUAUUACCUUGUAUACAAUUUGUCUUUACUGGGGGGGUGGGUAAGGU
rnacentral:lncRNA from 1 species